rnacentral:misc_RNA from 1 species
ACAAUCCAUGAGGAUCAAGUCAUAAGGAAGGGAAUGAGAGCCUUCAGCUUGGGAGGUAAUUGAAUUAUCAUCUUCCUGAAGAGAUUCAUUUCUACAUUCAUCUGAAUUAGGCACAGGUUUCAGUGCUUCCACUGCCUGUAGUCCAUCUCCUACAACCACCACUUUAGCUCCCAAUUUUUCCAGCAUUAUGGUAGCGACUCUUUGCAGAACUGGGGUAUCCUCAGCAAGCAGUAUGCAUAAACCUGCUAGAGAUUUCUGCCCUGCUACCUUAUUUGAGCAGGCAUUUGUGACCUCUUUGGUGGAGGUGCUUGUUAAAUUAUGUUCUCCAUCCCUAGUUUGUCCCAGAUGAGUCCUGUCAGGAGCAUUUUCUUCCAGAUCUACGCUAUUGAAGUCAAUGAAGUAGUUGUUUAAGGUCCCAUAGUGUGAAAGAGAGGCGUUGACAAAAUUUUCUUCCCUCUUUUUUUCAGGAAGGAAUGCACUUGCGCAUUUGUCAUUUCCAUUAUCUGACUUGUCAGAAUCAUCCGAGCAGGCGAUAUCGGAGUGGUUAGGAUCAAUUUCAAGGCAUUCAUG